CCUACGGGGGGCAGCAGUGGGGAAUAUUGCACAAUGGGCGCAAGCCUGAUGCAGCCAUGCCGCGUGUGUGAAGAAGGCCUUCGGGUUGUAAAGCACUUUCAGCGGGGAGGAAGGCGUUAAGGUUAAUAACCUUGUCGAUUGACGUUACCCGCAGAAGAAGCACCGGCUAACUCCGUGCCAGCAGCCGCGGUAAUACGGAGGGUGCAAGCGUUAAUCGGAAUUACUGGGCGUAAAGCGCACGCAGGCGGUCUGUCAAGUCGGAUGUGAAAUCCCCGGGCUCAACCUGGGAACUGCAUUCGAAACUGGCAGGCUAGAGUCUUGUAGAGGGGGGUAGAAUUCCAGGCGUAGCGGUGAAAUGCGUAGAGAUCUGGAGGAAUACCGGUGGCGAAGGCGGCCCCCUGGACAAAGACUGACGCUCAGGUGCGAAAGCGUGGGGAGCAAACAGGAUUAGAUAUCCCAGUAGUC
rnacentral:rRNA from 1 species